GACGAAGGGGGCUAGCGUUGUUCGGAAUUACUGGGCGUAAAGCGCCGUGUAGGCGGUUGUUCAAGUCAGGUGUGAAAGCCUUGAGCUCAACUCAAGAAAUGCACUUGAUACUGGAUGACUAGAGGACCGGAGAGGAUAGUGGAAUUCCCAGUGUAGUGGUGAAAUACGUAGAGAUUGGGAAGAACACCAGUGGCGAAGGCGGCUAUCUGGACGGUUUCUGACGCUAAGACGCGAAAGCGUCGGGGAGCAAACAGG
rnacentral:rRNA from 1 species